rnacentral:rRNA from 1 species
UACGUAGGGUCCAAGCGUUAUCCGGAAUCACUGGGCGUAAAGCGUGCGUAGGCGGCGUGUUAAGUGUGAUGUUAAUCGUGGGGCUCAACCCUAUCGGUGCAUUGCAUACUGGCAUGCUAGAGGAAGGCAGAGGCAAGUGGAAUUUGUAGUGUAGCAGUGAAAUGCGUAGAUAUUACAAGGAACACCAAUGGCGAAGGCAGCUUGCUGGGCCUUUUCGU